CCGAGUUAUACAACUCCUCAACCCUAUGAACAUACCUAACUUGUUGCCUCGGCGGAAUCAGCCGCGCCCUGUAACAACGGGACGGCCCCGCCAGAGGACCCCUAACUCUGUUUCUAUAAUGUACUUCUGAGUAAACCAGAAAUAAAUCA
rnacentral:misc_RNA from 1 species